UACAGAGGGUGCGAGCGUUAAUCGGAAUUACUGGGCGUAAAGCGUGCGUAGACGGUUUUUUAAGUCGGGUGUGAAAGCCCCGGGCUCAACCUGGGAAUUGCAUUCGAGACUGAAUAGCUAGGGUACGGUAGAGGGAAGCGGAAUUUCCGGUGUAGCGGUGAAAUGCGUAGAUAUCGGAAGGAACAUCAGUGGCGAAAGCGGCUUCCUGGACCAGUACCGACGUUCAGGCACGAAAGCGUGGGGAGCAAACAGG
rnacentral:rRNA from 1 species